CGAUGAUGCCCAGCUUGCUGGGUGGAUUAGUGGCGAACGGGUGAGUAACACGUGAGUAACCUGCCCCUGACUCUGGGAUAAGCGUUGGAAACGACGUCUAAUACUGGAUAUGAUCACUGGCCGCAUGGUCUGGUGGUGGAAAGAUUUUUUGGUUGGGGAUGGACUCGCGGCCUAUCAGCUUGUUGGUGAGGUAAUGGCUCACCAAGGCGACGACGGGUAGCCGGCCUGAGAGGGUGACCGGCCACACUGGGACUGAGACACGGCCCAGACUCCUACGGGAGGCAGCAGUGGGGAAUAUUGCACAAUGGGCGAAAGCCUGAUGCAGCAACGCCGCGUGAGGGAUGACGGCCUUCGGGUUGUAAACCUCUUUUAGUAGGGAAGAAGCGAAAGUGACGGUACCUGCAGAAAAAGCACCGGCUAACUACGUGCCAGCAGCCGCGGUAAUACGUAGGGUGCAAGCGUUGUCCGGAAUUAUUGGGCGUAAAGAGCUCGUAGGCGGUUUGUCGCGUCUGCUGUGAAAUCCCGAGGCUCAACCUCGGGCUUGCAGUGGGUACGGGCAGACUAGAGUGCGGUAGGGGAGAUUGGAAUUCCUGGUGUAGCGGUGGAAUGCGCAGAUAUCA
rnacentral:rRNA from 1 species